rnacentral:rRNA from 1 species
GAUUAGCUAGUUGGUAGGGUAAGAGCCUACCAAGGCGACGAUCAGUAACUGGUCUGAGAGGAUGACCAGUCACACUGGGACUGAGACACGGCCCAGACCCCUACGGGAGGCAGCAGUGGGGAAUUUUCCGCAAUGGGCGAAAGCCUGACGGAGCAAUACCGCGUGAGGGAGGAAGGCUCUUGGGUUGUAAACCUCUUUUUCUCAGGGAAGAACCAAAAAUGACGGUACCUGAGGGAAUUAAGCAUCGGCUGACUUCGUGCCAGCAGCCGCGGUAAUACGGAGGAUGCAAGCGUUAUCCGGAAUUAUUGGGCGUAAAGCGUCCGCAGGUGGCAGGCUCAAGUCUGCUGUCAAAGGUCAGGGCUUAACCCUGAACAGGCAGUGGAAACUGAACAGCUAGAGUGCGGUAGGGGCAGAGGGGAAUUCCCAGUGUAGCGGUGAAAACGCGUAGAGAUUGGGAAGAACACCGGUGGCGAAAGCGCUCUGCUAGACCGUAACUGACACUCAUGGACGAAAGCUAGGGGAGCGAAUGGGAUUAGAUACCCCAGUAGUCCUAGCCGUAAACGAUGGAUACUAGGCGUUGCGAGUAUCGACCCUCGCAGUGCCGUAGCUAACGCGUUAAGUAUCCCGCCUGGGGAGUACGCGCGCAAGCGUGAAACUCAAAGGAAUUGACGGGGGCCCGCACAAGCGGUGGAGUAUGUGGUUUAAUUCGAUGCAACGCGAAGAACCUUACCAGGACUUGACAUGUCGCGAAUCUUAGGGAAACCUAAGAGUGCCUUUCGGGAGCGCGAACACAGGUGGGUGCGUGGCCUGUCGUCAGCUCGUGUCGUGAGAUGUUGGGUUAAGUCCCGCAACGAGCGCAACCCUCGUUUUUAGUUGCCAGCAUUAAGUUGGGCACUCUAGAGAGACUGCCGGUGACAAACCGGAGGAAGGUGGGGAUGACGUCAAGUCAGCAUGCCCCUUACGUUCUGGGCUACACACGUACUACAAUGCUACGGACAAAGGGCAGCAAGUUAGCGAUGACAAGCAAAUCCCAUAAACCGUGGCUCAGUUCAGAUUGCAGGCUGCAACUCGCCUGCAUGAAGGCGGAAUCGCUAGUAAUCCCAGAUCAGCACGCUGGGGUGAAUACGUUCCCGGGCCUUGUACACACCGCCCGUCACACCA